rnacentral:rRNA from 1 species
UACGUAGGUGGCGAGCGUUGUCCGGAUUUACUGGGCGUAAAGAGCGCGCAGGCGGUCGAAUAAGUCGCGUGUGAAAGCCCCCGGCUCAACUGGGGAGGGUCACGCGAUACUGUUCGACUCGAAGGCAGGAGAGGGAAGUGGAAUUCCCGGUGUAGUGGUGAAAUGCGUAGAUAUCUGGAGGAACACCGGUGGCGAAGGCGGCAUCCUGGACCAAUAUUGACGCUGAGGAGCGAAAGCCAGGGGAGCAAAGCGGGAUUAAGAUGACCCUAG